rnacentral:rRNA from 1 species
UACGGGGGGGGGCAAGCGUUGUUCGGAAUUACUGGGCGUAAAGGGCCAGUAGGCGGCCUACUAAGUCGGAUGUGAAAUCCCCAGGCUUAACCUGGGAACUGCAUCCGAUACUGGAUGGCUUGAAUUCGGGAGAGGGAUGCAGAAUUCCAGGUGUAGCGGUGAAAUGCGUAGAUAUCUGGAGGAAUACCGGUGGCGAAGGCGGCAUCCUGGACCGACAUUGACGCUGAACGGCGAAAGCUAGGGGAGCAAACGGG